rnacentral:snoRNA from 1 species
UGUUCUGAUGAUAUUAUUAUGUCUUCUUUACCCGUCCUAUCGACUAUGACGAUAACUUUGUCUCCACUAUAGGUGGAGACCAUACUUGCCAGUAUCUUCGAUGUCUGA